UCGACCAAGGCACUUGGUCGCGUUCAGUUUCAAAAUCUGCGAGAAAGAAUUGGCGUCAUCAACCUCUACCGCAACUAGAUUAGGGGGAGAAUUGUUGUUUUAAUCAUGUUGCUAGUAGAGUAGUAGUAGCUAAGGUAGUAGAGUUCAAAACAAACUUGAACUCAGCCGUUGCUUAGUAGCUAAGGUAGUAGAGUUCAAAUCAAAUUUGAACUCCAUCUCUAGGAUAGACGGUUCCUAGGAUAGACGGUUCCUGAGUCCUAUAUAAGGACAUGUACUCAUCACUUGUAAGAUAAGCUAUUACGUAGAGAAAUAAAUCAAGAGCUUCAGCAUCA